GAUGAAGAACGUAGCGAAAUGCGAUAAGUAAUGUGAAUUGCAGAAUUCAGUGAAUCAUCGAAUCUUUGAACGCACAUUGCGCCCGCCAGUAUUCUGGCGGGCAUGCCUGUUCGAGCGUCAUUACAACCCUCAGGCCCCCGGGCCUGGCGUUGGGGAUCGGCGGAAGCCCCCUGCGGGCACAAUGCCGUCCCCCAAAUACAGUGGCGGUCCCGCCGCAGCUUCCAUUGCGUAGUAGCUAACACCUCGCAACUGGAGAGCGGCGCGGCCACGCCGUAAAACACCCAACUUCUGAAUGUUGACCUCGAAUCAGGUAGGAAUACCCGCUGAACUUAAGCAUAUCAAUAAGCGGAGGA
rnacentral:misc_RNA from 1 species